rnacentral:ncRNA from 1 species
CUGCCACAACGGCUUCCUGACGUGGCGGUUAUUCUUACCGGAGCA